AGAGAGAGGAGAUUUUAACUCCUACCCUUAACACCCAAAGCUAAGAUUCUAAAUUAAACUACCCUCUGACC
rnacentral:tRNA from 1 species